rnacentral:rRNA from 1 species
UUGUGCCUACGGGGCGCAGCAGUGGGGAAUAUUGCACAAUGGGGGGAACCCUGAUGCAGCAAUGCCGCGUGGGUGAAGAAGUACUCCGGUAUGUAAAGCCCUGUCAGCAGGGAAGAAAUGACGGUACCUGACUAAGAAGCCCCGGCUAACUACGUGCCAGCAGCCGCGGUAAUACGUAGGGGGCAAGCGUUAUCCGGAUUUACUGGGUGUAAAGGGAGCGUAGACGGCGAUGCAAGUCUGAAGUGAAAGGCGGGGGCCCAACCCCUGGACUGCUUUGGAAACUGUAUGGCUGGAGUGCAGGAGAG